UAAAGCAGAAGAAACACGCCAUGUGAGAACUCAGAUGUGCACACAUGCAGGAAGAGUUUCUUCCAGAGACUUAAGCACUAUGCUGAAUGAUAGGAGAUGGGGGAGGGCAUGGGUUAGGGAUCUGAGGAUAGUGGAAAGAGUUUGGAACAGCCACUGUGAGAAACAGACCUAUCCAGGCAGCUUGUAUGAAGGAUCACUAGCACGGGGCUCCGGUGGAGUUAGAAAGCCUGAAUCAGAACAGUGGAAUGUCUUUCUCUAACAACUUACAUAUCCCCUCAGGGUGGGAGAUGAGAGGUUGGUCCACCACCUGGUUAAAAUGAAUGACCCUAGGGCCCAAGCUGGGUGAGAAGGCAAUGAAGCCAGGAUAAACUGCUAGCCUAGAAGAAUAGGAUGGAGUCCAAGGAGUUGGCGCUAGCAUGAUGAGUUCUCAACCUUGGCUGAACAUCAGGAUCACCUGGGAUACUUAAAAAUAACAACAAAACAAAAAACUCCACCAUUCCUACCUCUAAAGAAUGUGAUUUAAAUUGGUCUGGGGUGAGGCCUGGACUUUGGGAUUUUUUUUUAAAGCUCCCCACAUCAUUCACCUAAUGUACAACCAAGCUGGUAAUGCACAACUCUUUUGUACAACUAUUAAAGCAAAGAGUGGGACCCUGCCCUCCGAAGCAAGAAGUUUCUCCUCCUUCUAUUCCAAGGCCAGCUCUGUCCCCAGGAUGAAUGGCAUCUCUCUGUGGAGACUAAUGGGGAAUAUGACAUCGCUCCAGUACACAUUUAACAAGCAAGUGGUUAGAUCAACGCCACAGGGCCCACUCGAUAAAUACUUGAUGCUGAUUGUACUGGACACUGAAGGAAUUGCCAUUCCACACCACUCGCCCCUUCUAAAAGCUGCCUCUUCCUCUCUUCUCGUCACGCUUCUCUAGAGAGCUGCAAGGUUCUGGAACCACCUUGCCCUCCUGCCCACCAUGGGACAGUAAGUUCCUGCCUGGGUGUUUUCAGGGGGCUCCCAACUGAGAAAGUCACGGUUCUUCUGAUCAUGAAAACUGCCAAAUGUCCAACUCAGGAGCAGGUGGCUGCUCCGUCAGGAAGAAAAUGGUGACUGUGCAGAGAGAAAAGGCAACCAGAACCACAGAGCAGAAAGAAGCAGGAGAGACAGUGAGGGCCCCUGGGGGAAUCUCAGGUUCUCACCGUGUCCGACUUUCCCGUGGUUCUGGCAAUAAAACCCUCUCUUUGCUUAA